UGCGCAGGCGGACUAAUAAGUCAGUGGUGAAAUCCCGGGGCUCAACCCCGGAACUGCCAUUGAUACUGUUAGUCUUGAAUACGGUUGAAGUAGGCGGAAUGUAGCAUGUAGCGGUGAAAUGCAUAGAGAUGCUACAGAACACCGAUCGCGAAGGCAGCUUACUAAGCCGAUAUUGACGCUCAGGAACGAAAGCGUGGGGAGCGAACAGGAUUAGAUACCCUGGUAGUCC
rnacentral:rRNA from 1 species